CAAAAUGGGAGUCCAAACCACCUGUUCAUGGAGUUUAGUGUUCAUGGUCUAGAAGAGCCCUGGCUGGAUUUUAUAUGUACUAUUUCUGCCACUGGCCAAGUAAAGAUCAUAGGAGAUGCUCGACACUCAGAAGUCAAAGCAUGGAAAGUGAGGUGUGGCAAAAGGAAAGCAGCUUUUAUUGGUCAAACGCCUACAAAUGAGAGAAUGGCCAGGCUCAAGCCUCAAAGGAUUCAUGGUUGGCUAAGUACCAAGUUGUUCAGGAAAAAUAUCUCACAACACUUCCAAUCAGAAUUCAGAGGAAAUGUCACCUACGUAAACUGCAACUUGACCAACAGUUACUUACAGAGAACCAGUUUAAGGUUUAUUUUCCACCACUGUGACUUUGUGCCCUUCUGUAAGCAUAUCAGGGAAAAGGAAGUCGAUGAUUUUACUCACUUACUUUCUCGGUCUCUGGUGUCCUUCCUAUAAAUUUACUGCAAGAGAACAGAGCCUCGACUGUUUCAGUAAUCAACAAGUAUCAUGCUUACUAGUAUUGUUUAUUGCCAGAACGCCUGGUUUAUAUUUUUUAAAUUUUCUUUUAAAAUAAUUAUUGAGUCAGCUUUUCAGAGUGGUAGACUGAUGUUGUAUAGAGCAAAUAAAAUUGUACCACGGAAAAAAAAUAAUGCCAGUGAUAAAACUAACCACUCUUGUGUUGAUUGGAAGAUAACCUUCCAGCUUAUGAAGCGUUUGCCUGUACCAUUUAAUUAAAACCUCACAAUUAAUUAAAUGUAUGAAAUAUUAAAAUUUCCAUUUCAGACGUAAGCAUGCUGAG
rnacentral:lncRNA from 1 species